rnacentral:rRNA from 1 species
UACAGGGGGGGCAAGCGUUGUUCGGAAUUACUGGGCGUAAAAGGCUCGUAGGUGGCCAACUAAGUCAGACGUGAAAUCCCUCAGCUUAACUGGGGAACUGCGUCUGAUACUGGAUGGCUUGAGUUUGGGAGAGGGAUGCGGAAUUCCAGGUGUAGCGGUGAAAUGCGUAGAUAUCUGGAGGAACACCGGUGGCGAAGGCGGCAUCCUGGACCAACACUGACACUGAGGAGCGAAAGCCAGGGGAGCAAACGGG